rnacentral:lncRNA from 1 species
UUUUUUUUUUUAGAUGCAUUUUGUUUAUUUUGGAGACAGCAGAGGGAAGGGCAAAGAGAGAGUCCCAAGCAGACUUCACACAGAGUGCAGAGCCGGACAAGGGGCACCAUCCCACCCCCCUGAGAUCAUGACCUGAGCCGAAACCAAGAGUCAGCUGCUUAACCAACUGAGCCACCCAGGUGCCCCUGAAAUCCACUCAUCUUAUUCAGAACAAGCACCAUCUCCUCCCAGAAGCCCUCCCAAACUAUUUUAGCCAGCAGGAGUGCCUUCCUUCUCUAACCCAUAGAGCAUGUGUGGAUUGUAAGAAGACUUCACAGGCAUAUCAUAGUCUCUGAAUGCCCAGGAUGAUGUCUUCUUUUCAUCUAGCACAGUGUCUUCCCUUUAAUAAGUUUUUACCGAAAGUUUUUCAUCAGCUGGGAACAAGGUGCUAUGGACAUACAUGGGGAAGGUAAGGUUAUACAAGCACUCUUUUAGAGCUUGCAUUCAGAGACUUUCAAAGAGUUUUGCACCAUGAAAAGUAUGACAAAAGAACCCUCAAAUUUGCCUUAGAAAUAUAUUGGCACUGAAAGGAGGAAUUACAUUAAUGUCAGAAAAACUGACUCUUUAGCCCAAUUAUUCCCCAUUUGCAACACCUACAGAGGAUAUGGUUCACUUCAAUUAAUUUGUGCUGCUGAAAGCACUUUUUCUUGUAAUUUGGGAAAUGCUUUCAAACGAUGCAGUUAUAGAUGAGCCAUUAAUGAUGCGCUCUCUGACCAGAGCUGAGAGCAGGCCAACUGAGAGCCCAGAGCCAGGUGGGGUUGGUUAGACACCCAGAGAAGUAGCAUCCACAGCACUCUUCAUCUGCAGAUAAGGAAUGCCUCAAAGAAAACCAUCUGAAAACUUCCAAUUACACAUCUGACAGAACAGCUCAAAGGCUAAAAUGAAAUGAAAUGCUUAGUGUGCAACCACUUUCAUGAGUUUUAAAGUUCAAAUAUUUGAAAGGCUAUUUCAUUGCAUUGCACGUAAAAAAAAUAAAUAAAUAAUCACCAAGUAUCUUGCCAGAUGCAAUACCAACUGAGUACAUGAUAUGCAUUCUUGUCUCCUAAAAGUGUCAACUCCAGAAACUCUCCUGUUUCUGCUCUUUUACAUCUUAGAAUAAAAUGUUCAAUUCCCCUAUCUCAUAUUCUGCUAGCUGCCUUCUCCUUGUUUCAUCUCUUUACUCUUGGAAUUAAACUUUUGUUUUUGGGAUUUAAUGUACUUAAUUCUUUUUUAAGAUUUUAAUUAUUCGUGAGAGACACAGAGAGAGAGAGGCAGAGACAUAGGCAGAAGGAGAAGCAGUCUCCCUGCAGGGAGCCCUAUGCGGGACUCGAUCCCAGGACCCUAGGAUCAUGACCUGAACCAAAGGCAGAUGCUCAACCAUUGAGCCAGCUAGGUUCCUUUAAUGUAUUUAAGUUUUGAAUAGAUAACACAUUCACAUGGUUUAAAUACGAAAAAGUCUAAGAAAGUAGACAGUAAAAAAGAUACUUCCUCAUCUAUCUCCCACAGGUAAUUGCUCUCACUAGUUUUUUUGUGUGUUCUUAGAAAAACCUUUUUUGAGUAUACAAGCAAAUACUAAUACAUAGACUUAUUUAUUUAUUUAUUUAUUUAUUUAUUUAUUUAUUUAUUUUGGAAUUAACAUGUCCCAUUCCAAAUCAUCACGGGAUGGGUGGAGCACCUGGUGGUUAGAGUUGCAGUGUCUGGCACUAUGCUUGGUACAGAACAAGGACUUAAUGCUUGUGGGCCAAAGGGACAAGAACCAUGACCAGUCCCCUCCAAGUUCCUUCAACCCACUCCUAUUUCCCUACUUGAGUUUUGAGUGGUUUUGAGGAUGAGGUGGAUAAAUGGAAAUGAUUUUCAAAAGAAGAGAAGAGAAAUGAGCAAAGGAAGGCAAUUGAAAGGAUGCUGGAAUGGGGGCAGAGGCUAACCAGGGAAGCAAUGUGCCCCUCUGCAGGGGAAGCAUCAGAAUGAAAACCAAAAAAUUCUGAUUACUGGCCUCCUCCUUGUUCCACUUCCAUCCUUACUUCAAGGAUGAGGUGGGAUUCAGGGUACCAACACACCUAAGAGAAGAGCUCAGUACUUAUCUCAUGACACAAGUGACUAUUGAAUGUCUGGGCCUGGAGAAAACAUUCUAAGGCAGACUGGAGCAUGCCUGCCUCUGCUGACAGUUCUUUUGCACCUUUGGGAGGCUGCGACUUUUACUCCCAAAGCUUCUACUAAGUGUAAAGCCUCAGUUCUCAGUCUCCUCUAUGUUACACCUUACCGUGAAAAGCAAAACUUCUCUCUUAAAAAAAAAUUUUUUUUUCAGUUCAUUAGGUACAAAUCCUCUUAUCUCACCCCAAAGAAUGUCUUGUUACUGUACUAGAGCAGAUCUAAGUCCAAAAGACAAUGUCACACACCACCUUGACCCCUAAGAAGCUAUGGCCUUUCUUUCAUCUGGUGGCUGUGAGUCUCUCUAUAAGUCUCUCUCAUAAAGUCUCCACUGCCCAACCAAAGAUACCUGAUUCCUUUAUUCAGAGUAUUCAUCAAAUUAUGAAAAUUAAAUUCAUUUUUCCUAUUCAAUGUAUCGUUUGAUAAAUCCCAACACUGUGAAAUUGAGGAGCUACAGAUUAAGAUAUAUAGUUACAGGACAGGGAAAACAAGUCACUUGAAAUCUAUGACCACUUUAAUGACAAAGAAAGCCAGGAGUCCUUGACUACUCUAGUUGAGAGCAGGAGUGAGCAGAAGGUAGAAGUGCCCUCCCUGGGCACCCAUGCUCAGUCACCCUGCAUGGCAUGAUGUAAGAUGAAAGCAUCUGCUGACUCUAAGAGGUAUAAUUACCACCAGGGUGGGGGUAUAAUUAAAGUAAGAAUAAUUUACCUUAAAGAAGAUAAAAAUUAAGAAUUAUUAAUGAUCAUAAUAAUUAGCCUUCUUAUAUCUAAGAAUCACAAAUGCUUUACAAGCUGUAAUUAUCACAGCUGUCCUCUGAGGAAGGGAUUCAUAUCUUACAUCUCCUCACUUAACAGAGGGGUGAAGUGAUGGGCAUGUGGGAAGGCAGAAAGGAGUGGAGUGGUAAUGCCUCUUCCAUCACCUGUCCCAUACAUGGUGAAACUAGAAAGGCCCUAAAAGAGCUGACUCCUAUUAUGGUGUGUGCCUUCAUCCCCAAACCCAUAGAAAUCCAUCCCAAAUCAAGCAAUCCAUCUCAUUCUGACCUGCUAGCCAUUUAAACUGCUUCAAUGCAAUAAAAUUAUACCAACAAGGAUUUUACAAAACACCUAGUCAAGGUAAAAGAUACAGUAUUGCCUUCAAGGAAUUUAAAUCCUAACUGAGAAGACAAAACAAGGCUCCAUUAAAUUAGAGGGAAAAAAUGUGGAAAAUACACAUUAACUAGUGCUAGAUUGUAUGAUGCUGACAAUGCUUGCUAUGUAAAAUUAUUUUAAUUGCAAGAUCACUAUAUGUAAAGGUCAAGAAAGAGAUGGAACUUGUACAGGGCCUCAAAGAAAAUACCAUAGGUCUUAGACUGGCAGAGAUGGGGUCCCACUGAGUGAAUCAGUGAAUAAGAAGAAACAAUAGGAAAACUUGAAAGGUUUAACACAUAAUCUUAAGAAAAAAGUCUUCAUUGGAGAGAUGUUUAGAGAGCUUACCAAACAAUCUUAUUUUUUUAAAGCCAUCUCAAAUCACCCUACUUGGGGACAUCUGAGUGGCUCAGUCAGUUAGUUAA